UUGUUGCACUAGGGGAGCUAUGUACAUGGCUGAGAGGAGAUGGUAUCCGACCCUUAUAACCCGAACUAGAUAAUACUAGCGUGGGGAAGUGUAGUCGAAACUGC
rnacentral:ncRNA from 2 species